GUAUCACGUGACCGUGAGUUAUUUCUUUUACAGCGAGCAAAAGGCAGUAACGCAGUUUCUUAGGAUUGAGACUGACAUCCACUUCUGGAAGUGAAUUUUUUAUGCACUCGCUUAGCGAGGGGCGGCACUGAAGGAAGCUACAGAUCGGAAAUGCUGGUAAACAAUGUGAAGUGUUUAGCAGAGAAAAGCUUCGAGAUGCCGGAGGAAAGGGAGUCCCCAUGGUCUCCAUCAUGGGAACCCUUCUGUCUCUCCUUUUUAUAACCUUCCAGAAAUGGCAGGCCAUUCAUGACAGAGGCACUUCGGUUCCUUAACAUUAUCUUGUUCCCACUGGGACAAAAUUUACUUCAUGCAAUAGCAAACUAUAGACGCAGUUUCUGGAAUCCUUUGCUUCUAUUGGGGACAGGAGGAUAUCCUGUAGUCUGACGGGGUUCCCGGUGAUGUUUCUUCCUAGAAUGGGAGGAAAGGAAGUCUUUCACAGUCUCCAGGCUUCAAGUGAACCAUAGAAAGGAGGACCAUGUGACCUGCAGGCUGCGAAACCUAGAAUCCCUACCCAAACCAAGGCGGAGGAGGAGCCUAAUAAUGAUGGCUCUCAGCCUAACAGAAGCUGGACCUGGGACCACAGGUAACUUGAUGGAAAGGAUUCUAAAUAUAGCUAAAAUUCUAAAUAUAUCGGGAUAGUUAAGCUUGAGAAUGAAAAUUUUUGGUUGCAGCAGUUGUAUAUACUAAGGUUGGCUAUAAAGUCUUGAGACUGUUCUGUGAUAGGCCCACCCAGCGCUCAAAUGACGUUUGAGUAGCAGCAUCCAGGACGGAAACAUGCUUCCCACGGUGAAAUCUUGACUCGGGUUUAUUUGGGGGAUCUUUUGUGGAGGGCUCUGUCAGCUGACAGUCCCAUUGUAUACAAGAAUGAGCUCGGUCAGGAUCCACUUCAAAGCAAAGGAAGAUGUGUUUCCCGUGAAAGUCUGUGUAAUGCUUCGGAAGUCUCAAGGAAGAGAAGUAAGGGGAAGAUGGAGAGUUGCAUUUGAAGGCUGUAGGUGCAAAAACUCUAGGAUUUGUGAGCUGAGUCGCUCUGGACUACGUUUAAAUACUUAUUUCAUUUAGGCGAAUGCAAAUGAGACAACAUAAAGAUGCCUCCUAUGUCUGAUUUGCAAAGAAAGAGAACAAUACUACAUUCUAAUCUACAAAUCUGUAGUCAGAGAACACACCGACCAAAUAAAAGGACUGCUGCGUUAACACAUUCGCUGUUUACUCUGAAAUGUGUUUGCAUUGUCUGAGAUUCCCAUUUAAUCGAUUGGUCGCCCUCUACUGGUCAGAAGGGCGAGGCUCCAACCGCAGAGAUCACGUGGAGGCCCCACCCACGGUUGACUGUCAGAGCAUUUCUGACUGUCCAAUUGUGCAAAUUUCCGGUGACAAUGAUUGGUGAACACUUGGCUGUGUUUAAAUCGACACAACGAGACCAUUUUAUGUGAAGAGUACUUCCGUUUAUCUAUAUAAGCAUGUUUUGUGAUUGGAAAACCAAAAGGAGAGAUGGACCCCCGCCCCGCCCCAGCUCCACUAUCUCAUUGUCUUUCUGCUGCUGGUAUAUUAUGUAUCACUACUUGGUAGUACUUUAAAACAAAUGUGGAUUUAAAUGAUUUAAAUAUUUCAAAGGCUACAGCCGCUGUUCAGAACGCAGUGUGUAAUGAUUCUCAUCACAGAGAAAUCUGAUCUUGCUAUGGAAUGAAAAAGCCGAAUGUUUGCGAAGGAGCAAUGCACGUUCCCUACCCAGCCAAGGACUUUUUGUAGGGAUGGAAAAGCCUCUUGCAGCAACCAUCCUAGCGCUACUGCAGGAGUCUGGGCGAGAUGGCGGCGGGGCUCCUCCCACCUCUGCGGCAGCAGAGAUCAAUAAUGCAAGGCUCUGCGGCAAACGCGCGCCUCCUUUCUUCCCUGACAGCGACCAUAAGAGCCUUCGGCUGGAACAUUGACCCGUUGCGCCAUCUACCGACCACCAGGGUCUAGUGCAGCUUUGAGCUGGAAAGUCCGGAAACAGCGUGAAAGCUGCAUGGGUGAAGGGAGUUUUCAACACCUAAUCUCAUUUAAGAGGACAAAGAAAAAAUAAGUUUUUUCUAUCUGCCUGUGAAAAAUAACACGAAGGCUUGAAGCUCCCAAUGCCCAUCAUCACAUGAAAUAUAGACUUGUUAGGUUUUUUGCAACAUGUCUUAGGGUUACUAUUGCUGUGAUGAAACACCAUGACCACAAGCAACUCCGGAAGAAAAGGAUUUAUUUAGUUUACAGGUCCAUGACUGUCCAUCGUCGAAGGAAGUCAGGACAAAAAACUAAAGCAGAGCAGCAACCUGGAGCCCAGAGCUGAUGUAAAGGCCACAGAGGAGUGGCAUCUUACCAGCUUGUUCCUUAUGGCUUGCCCAGCUGCUUUCUUACAGCACCCAGGACCACCUGCUCCGGGACGGCACCGCCCACAAUGGACUGGACCUUCCCCAUUAAUCACUAAUUAAGAAAAUGCCCUACAGCCUUGCCCACAGCCCCAUCUUAGGUAGGCAGUUUUUUCAUUUGAGGCUCCCUCCUCUCCGAUGGCCCUAGCUAGUGUUAAAUUGACAUAAAAUUAGCUAGCGCACCUGUUAUUUUGAAAAUAGUCUGUUUUCUACAUGAUCCAGGAUAAAAGAAAGCCCUGUACAAGCUUAUAUGACCAAAUUUGAAUUUCAGGUUAAAAACCAACAAUUAGUAUAAGCAUGCCACAUAUACGUUAAAGCAUCUCACUGGGCAUCCUGUCAUGAUUAUUACCUUUCAUCUUGUUAGCCAAGGCUGACAGCCCUCUCAGUAAACCUGUCUACAGGUUUUACAAAGGUUGGUAGCUCUGCUUGGACUGCUCGAGACUGUGGCGCCCUCUUCUGGCUUCCAUGGGCACUGCAUUUGUGUUCUCCCUCCCCACACACCUUCAUGACGCAUUAUUAAAAAACUCCAAGUUAAAAAGAAAGCCAGGAACAGCACACUGCAUUUGCGUGCUUUUCUUUGCUUGUGACAUUAGCUCCAACCGCACUCGGGAGCAUGGUUAAUGCUCGGUCCUCUCUUGCCCUCCCUCCUUUUCAUGUGGCGGUUUUCUGUGUCUGUGGCUAAUUAACUUAGCUCUCCUUCCCACUCAGCAUUCCCUCUGCAAAAACAAAUGACAGAGCGAAUUAUACCGCACGGACUUACAUUUGGUCUUGCUUUUUUUACGCCCGUGGAACGAGGGCGCCUGCUUAUUUUCAAUAAGCUCUGACCCAGGCCCUAUACAGGUGGCAGGGCAGGGCAUAUGUGGUUUGAGGGUUGCUAGGGACCUGGUUCAUUAACAGCCAAGCAGAACGUUGUAACUUCUCCAUUCCCCCUGCAUGGGAGUGGCACUACCUCCCCUUGGCCCUCUCCCCAUCGCUGGCUGCCUCAGGGACUGCACAAGUGUUCAUUAACAAGGCUGCAUACGGUUAGUGGAGGAAGGGAGAACAUGCCUUCUCUCAUGCCUGCUUCACUGCAGUCACGUAGGCAAAGCACUGAGUCGUGUUUUGCCCGCCUGUAUGUCUGUGUGAGGGUAUCGGAUCCCCUGGAACUGGAGUUACAGUUAGGAGCUGCCAUGUACAUGCUGGGAAUUGAGUCUUGUUGAUGAGCAACCAGUACUCUUUACUGCUGAGCCAUCUCUCCACCCACUCAUGUUGGAAUCUUGAAAGUAGAACUUGGUAAAAUUUGGAGAUACAUUUAACAGAAACGCUCAAUAAUUAGUAUAAGUAAAUGGACACAACUCUAAAUGACCAGUAAAUGUCCUCAAG
rnacentral:lncRNA from 1 species